rnacentral:rRNA from 1 species
AUGUUUGAUGCAGCGAUUAAGGUGGUUCCAGCCAUUGAAGCAGAAGCAGAAGAAGUGGAAGGAGCAGAAAGUAUGCACGGACAGACCAAUGGUGGAGGCUCGAGGGACGGAGUGCCGCCGCCGCCGCCAUCCUCACCCCUGAGCCCAAACUUCCAAUUUGUUAGAUGGGAGGGUCUGCAGAAGAAGAGAUUGGAAGAGAGCAUUCAAGCAAGGUUCCCCCAAAAUGAAUUCUCUUGUAGGAUUUGGGUCUGCAGCUGCAUUGCUAUUAGUGCAGUUUCCUUGCUGAACCCUGAAUUGGCAUGGAAUUCAACCUUCUUCAAAGAACCGGUCAUGCUUCAUGAAUUUGUAAUUCUGGGCGGAUCUCCCGAGGAAAGUGCUCUGCUUAAGGCAUCUAGCAAUAUGAAUGAGCUCAUUUCACUCUUAUCUCCUCAGUCGAGGCUAGUCGAUACAUCAUCCGGCGAUGAUCUUCCUUCAGAUGGCACUUCGAAUUCGGAUGCAAUAACAGUUCAAGUUCUUGUCAAUGAUGUCCAUGUUGGAGACUCAGUAUUGGUUAUUGAGUCAUUAGAAAGGAUAGUUGAUGAUUCUGACUUUGAACAUGGUACCCAUCAUCAUAUUGAAGUAUGUUGGUGGUUGGUACCAAUCAUUUUUUGUGAUAGAAGCUUGGCAUGCGUUUUGUCAACUGUUGAAGAAGAGAAGAUUGUCCUAGGCGACUGCAAGUUUUUUAAAUCUACCUUCUACUAG